rnacentral:lncRNA from 1 species
AUGUACUUGUGCACUGUGUAUCUGGAAAAAAACUCCAUUUACUGGGCAAUUUUACUCUUUGGAUUCUGGUAUACUGUUCCUGCUGGAGACUACUUAUUUCUGGGAUAUAUAAAAUUUCUGGGCAAUAUAAGACCAACAUUUUGGAAUGAGGUAAUUGCACCAAAUGAGAAACAUUUCCCAGAGACAAUCAGAGCUACCUCAUUUUCUGCCUUCUCUCUAAUGUUUAAUGACCUUGAUGGAAUUACAUUGAUUAGGAAAGAAGAAUGGGGAGAGAAAAGGAGCAGGGAUCAACUGCUGAAGUCUUCCCUGUGUUCAAAAAACACCAGCGUUCCUGUAACAUUACACUGACUCUGUCACCAGGGACCCAGAGGCCCAGUUUCAAGUUUUUGCACAGUUCUCCAAGAGUCCCAAGCCACAGAGCUAUGCCCAUGACUUAAUAUUGCCAGCAUUAAGCAGAUUUUCCGGGGAAAUUUUUUUCAAGUACUUUUUUUUUGAGUCUUGUUUUCUUCAAGCUGGACGGACCCAUUGCCUCCCCAAGGGCCAGAGACUAACACGUGGAAUAGAUAUCAAUGAAUUGUUUUCGUCCUACAAGCUAACGACCAGGUCAAAAUUCCUUGAAUCUCUUCCUUCUCUGUGUGGGAUUUUUAAAAAUAUCACUGUCUUUGCUAUCCAGGCUAUCAGCUAAAUGUAUUGCUGAUCAUUUUAACACAGUUAUGUAAAUAUAUUAUACACAUAAAAAUGUGACCUAAAAUAUGAAAAUUAUUAAUGUAUACAUGUUUCUUAUGACAAUCUUUUAUGACAAAAGACCCUGUUUUUCAAAACUUUAAUUAAUUUUGUUAGUUCUUUUACUAUUUUGUUCUAACUUCCAUUUUUUUCAGAUGGGCAUUCAAUGGUAGAAAGCCCCAGUGAUUAUAUGUGGCUAUUUUAUAUCCUUACAAGGCAGGAUAUUCUGCUAUAUCACUCACUACAUAAUAAAAUAAAUGCAGGAAAACUUUGCA